rnacentral:misc_RNA from 1 species
AAUUUAUAUAAGUUUUUCUCAAUUCGAUCACAUAAAAAGAGUUCACAUUUACAGUACAUAUAUAAUAUAUAUUAGACUAGUGAUUAAACAGCCAAUAAUUAAUAAUAAAAACACACAACUUGAUCCUGGGAGUAUUUCACACACGCCAAGCAGAAUUAACAAAAAAGAAAAGGUUGAGAAGAAGAUAAGUAAAAAAACCUAGCUAGCGCUCCAUAUAUAGCUCAGGUGGAUCUUCUGGUGGAGGAGAUGUAGGACGCAGUUGAUGUUGUCGCCGGAGACGGCCAAAGCUGUGCAUUCUUCACCUUGGACACACUAGCAAGAACUCCGAAGGGGGUCACAUUUCCUAUAAUUGUAACUUUCUUUGUAGCCAAAUCUAUACUAAAUGAUGUCACUCCUUCCAUUUUGGAAAUAUGCUUUCUCACUUUUCCUUCACAGCCCUUGCAAUGGAUUGACACCCACAAAACGACGACCUGGUCUCGGGAGCGAGCUGAGGAAGAAGAUUUUAAAGCAGGAGAAUGAUCAAUUGAGCUGGAAUGCCUAGACUUUGUAGUUUGAUGAGGCUCCAAAAUCCAGUCACGAGAGUAAUUAGCUAGUGAACAAGAUCCUCGAGGAGUAGCAGGAGCAUUAGUUGAGCCUGUAUGGCCAGGCUUGGAACGUUGAGCAGGAUCAAGAACCAAUGCGGAGGUAUGAUCAUUAGACUCCGAAAUCCAAUCAAUAUAGGGUACUUUAUCACUCAGAAGAUACCUAGAGGAGGAGACUGUUGGACUAUGGAGAUCCCUUAUAUCAGCAGAGCUUUUUCUACGUAAAUCACCAGUUUGUUUUGCACGAGAAGUAGUACUGCUCUCUCUAUCAUUAUCAGCAAAGCUUUUCCCGCGAAAAUCACCUUGCUUAUUCGCAGAACUCUUUCUGUUCGUCUCAUAAUCAGGUUUAGGAUUAUAGGGUAAAUGAUGAGACGAACAAGGAGCAUAAGGUUUGGAUUUCUGGUAACCAAUGGGUCUGGUAGUACCACUACGGACCAUGGAACGAUGGUCUAGGCUAGAGCAGAUAGCUGUGGAAGCUGGAGAAGCACAGAAAAGAUCCAUUUUUUUCAUGUUUGGAUUUGUGAGAGAAAGGCAGGGAGAAUCAGUAGCAGAAACAAUGCCAAAUUUAAUUGCAGAAGUUGUUGAAAUUCUAGGAAGAAAACAGAAGUAGUUUCUCUCUAAUGAGAUAGGCUAACUAAUUAAUCUGCUUCUGAAGUUGGAGGAUAGGAG